rnacentral:rRNA from 1 species
GACGCUGAUGCGUUGUUGGGUAGGGGAGCGUUCUGUAAGCCUGUGAAGGUGGCCUGUGAGGGUUGCUGGAGGUAUCAGAAGUGCGAAUGCUGACAUAAGUAACGAUAAAGCGGGUGAAAAGCCCGCUCGCCGGAAGACCAAGGGUUCCUGUCCAACGUUAAUCGGGGCAGGGUGAGUCGACCCCUAAGGCGAGGCCGAAAGGCGUAGUCGAUGGGAAACGGGUUAAUAUUCCCGUACUUGGUGUUACUGCGAAGGGGGGACGGAGAAGGCUAUGUUGGCCGGGCGACGGUUGUCCCGGUUUAAGCGUGUAGGUGUGUGUUCCAGGUAAAUCCGGUUCACUUUAACACUGAGGCGUGAUGACGAGGCACUACGGUGCUGAAGCAACAAAUGCCCUGCUUCCAGGAAAAGCCUCUAAGCAUCAGGUAACAUCAAAUCGUACCCCAAACCGACACAGGUGGUCAGGUAGAGAAUACCAAGGCGCUUGAGAGAACUCGGGUGAAGGAACUAGGCAAAAUGGUGCCGUAACUUCGGGAGAAGGCACGCUGACACGUAGGUGAAGUGAUUUACUCAUGGAGCUGAAGUCAGUCGAAGAUACCAGCUGGCUGCAACUGUUUAUUAAAAACACAGCACUGUGCAAACACGAAAGUGGACGUAUACGGUGUGACGCCUGCCCGGUGCCGGAAGGUUAAUUGAUGGGGUCAGCGCAAGCGAAGCUCCUGAUCGAAGCCCCGGUAAACGGCGGCCGUAACUAUAACGGUCCUAAGGUAGCGAAAUUCCUUGUCGGGUAAGUUCCGACCUGCACGAAUGGCGUAAUGAUGGCCAGGCUGUCUCCACCCGAGACUCAGUGAAAUUGAACUCGCUGUGAAGAUGCAGUGUACCCGCGGCAAGACGGAAAGACCCCGUGAACCUUUACUAUAGCUUGACACUGAACAUUGAGCCUUGAUGUGUAGGAUAGGUGGGAGGCUUUGAAGUGUGGACGCCAGUCUGCAUGGAGCCGGCCUUGAAAUACCACCCUUUAAUGUUUGAUGUUCUAACGUGGACCCGUGAUCCGGGUUGCGGACAGUGUCUGGUGGGUAGUUUGACUGGGGCGGUCUCCUCCUAAAGAGUAACGGAGGAGCACGAAGGUUGGCUAAUCCUGGUCGGACAUCAGGAGGUUAGUGCAAUGGCAUAAGCCAGCUUGACUGCGAGCGUGACGGCGCGAGCAGGUGCGAAAGCAGGUCAUAGUGAUCCGGUGGUUCUGAAUGGAAGGGCCAUCGCUCAACGGAUAAAAGGUACUCCGGGGAUAACAGGCUGAUACCGCCCAAGAGUUCAUAUCGACGGCGGUGUUUGGCACCUCGAUGUCGGCUCAUCACAUCCUGGGGCUGAAGUAGGUCCCAAGGGUAUGGCUGUUCGCCAUUUAAAGUGGUACGCGAGCUGGGUUUAGAACGUCGUGAGACAGUUCGGUCCCUAUCUGCCGUGGGCGCUGGAGAACUGAGGGGGGCUGCUCCUAGUACGAGAGGACCGGAGUGGACGCAUCACUGGUGUUCGGGUUGUCAUGCCAAUGGCACUGCCCGGUAGCUAAAUGCGGAAGAGAUAAGUGCUGAAAGCAUCUAAGCACGAAACUUGCCCCGAGAUGAGUUCUCCCUGAGACUUUAGGUCUCCUGAAGGAACGUUGAAGACGACGACGUUGAUAGGCCGGGUGUGUAAGCGCAGCGAUGCGUUGAGCUAACCGGUACUAAUGAACCGUGAGGCUUAACCUUACAACGCCGAAG